CAUACCCAGCUCCAAUAGUGAUUCCAGUACCGAACCGUCCCAACCUACGUAAUCCGUACCCAUGCAAUACCGAUUCUGACUGUAGCCGUCAUUGUCGGAAGCAUUGCAACGAGACUAUUGA